UCAGCCUCCCAAGUAGCUGGGACUAUAGGCACACCACCAUACCCAGCUAAUUUUUUUUUAGUUUUCAUAGAGAUGGGGGUGUCACUCUGGUGCCCCCGCUAGUCUCAGACUCGUGGCCUCAACUGAUCCUUCCAGCUUGGCCUUCCAAAGUGAUGGAAUUACAGGUAUGAGCCACCAUGCCCCAUCCCCUUAGCUUUUUUUUUUUUUUUUUUACUGCUCCCAGCUGACUCUAAUCAAGGAAGUCUAUAGGAGGAAAAGGAGCACAACAGAAUACUAGCCUCAGUGGAGCUGACUGUGCUUAUACUGUAGGGUGGACAGCACAGAACGCAAACCUCCUGAGGACACGGUUAGAACAUCAAUUUCCGUGGCCCAGCAUAGACCCACUGUCUUAUGGUGACCAGUAUUGUAUAGGUGUGUUCUUUACAGAUUUAGUGUAUCACUGACUCUUCUUAAACAGAAGUAAUUAGAACGUUACAAACAGGGAAGGCACAAGUAAUAAAUAAGCCAGGAGACCAGCCAAGAAAUAGCUCUCUGGAAGAGUCUGGAAUUUAAAAAAGCUAUUCUAGAACAGUAGCUGCUGUGUGCUCCAGAACUAAGGGGAGAUAUUUGAACUGGAGCCACUAGAGAAAGCUGCUAUUGAGAAGUUUUUAUUUCAUGAGUUAACCUGGGCUUGGUGGUUAAGGCCAAUACUUACACAUAUGAUUCUCAAGAAAAGUCUUGGCUUUAGAGUUUGUUGUAUUGGGGGAAAUAACAGUUACUGUGAUCUCAGAGGGAAAAUAGCACCUUUGGUUGUAGAUAGAUGUGGUCUUUCUCACAGCCUUCGUGUACAAGGGAUUUUAACAGGGUUGACACAGAACGGAUCCCACAGUAUGGCAUGUGUUUGAGGAAUUUUGUCUUUAAGCAUUUUCCUUGCACAUGUCAGAAACACCCCUGGAUCUCAUUCCUUGAGUGGUUGUGCGAUUCUUUGGAUAUUUGUAAGUACAAAGAGGAAAACGGAUGCCAGCUUUUUUUGUUGAUGCUUACUAGGUGGGAUAUGAAGGGUUCUCUACUGUUAAGAAUGGUAUCUGUUUUGAUAUUCUUAAUGAUCUUAAUAACUUGGCAUCUGAAGUCUGAGACACUGUUAAUAUUAUUAGUUCAAAAAGAACAAGUUCGUCAACCACUUAAUAACCCAAAUUAAAUUUAUAUUUAACUCCCUGUGAAUCUGAUGCUUGGAAGGGAUGUUGAUCUUAUUUGAUAAUAACUUUGAACUUUCUAACUCUCUGUGUCAUGGAUUCUAAGCCACUUCCGUGUACUUUCAAAUGACAUUUUAAUAGAUUGGUGUUGGUUUUUUUAAUGUCCAUAAACGAGAAAUGUCUGAGAGCAAUGAGUGUGGUUUUUCUUACACAUUUUCUUAUCUUUGCCAUUGGAGGUUAACUGUCAUCCAGAUACGCGUAUGAAUUGUUAAAUGCAAAGGAGCAAACAUUCAGGGGGAAGGGAGUAAGUGCUGCAAGUUCUUUUGUUCACUUUAAUACUAAAGAACAAUGGAAGUGUAUUUCAUUUUAUAAAAAGUAAGAAUCAAAAGCCCUCUGUAUUUUGAUUUAUGAAGAAUAUAGUUUAUCUCUGAGUGAAAUAGCUCAGGAUAUAUCUGGGACAACAAUGGAAUCACAGUGUAAUUGUUUGCUUUUGGUGUCAUGUUUGGCUUUUAGCAUGGAUCGUUGUGCGUAUCAGUGGCCUUUGAUUUCAGAAGGAGCUUGGCUAGGACAGAACGCAUAAGGGGAGGAAACCUUUGUGCCCAAGAGAAUGGCCUGGGUGUCACCAUUCCCAAUUUCCUUGAAUUUCUUCUUGGCAGGCCCCACUGUAAUAGUUCCACAAAAUUGUCAUGAGUGGCCCUUCUCUGGAGGUAACAAGUGGCUUUCCUAAGAACCAAAAAUUCCCUGCUCAGCGUGCUGCGACUUGAAUGUGGAAAUCAUUUUAAUUUCUAAUUUUCUCUUAUGAGGAAAUUUCUACGCUUGGUUUGUCAAGACAAGAGAGUUCAUUUCUUGUUAUUGAAACACUAAUGAAUUGAAACACGUUGAAGCAAGUAAAAAAAAAAUCUAAUUUAAGCUGGUUUCUCUUAAAUAGUUUAAAGCCUUCCUUAGUACAAAAUAAAUUAAGCAUUGUAAAAUGAAGUUAAUUCAGGUAAUUACUCAGUACAGAAGUUUAACUGUAUAUAUCAUUGGUAUUGCAGUUUAAGGGUAUAAUUAAAUUCUCAGAAAUCUGCAGAACUCCUAAUUCGGUUUCUAUAUUUAUCUAAUAAGACAAGGAACAAAUGUGUGUCAGUGUAACAAAGGGGACUUGAAUGGAGAAAUUAUGCUUAAUUAUCUAGAACUAUCCAGUACUGGGCUUGAAUUAAUCAUAUUCAAAUAAGUUUCAUUUUGUAGCCUAUUACCAUAUACCAUAUUACUUUAUAAUUGCCAUUUAUUGGUCCUCAUCAAAAAUUUUGACUCCUUAAGUAAAAAUCAACAAAACUGUACAUUUGACCCAAAUGCAUCUGGUCAGGUGACUGAAGGUAUGAAUUUGACAAAUCCCACAGAAUAACUUUCUUCAAUCAAGUUAGAAAACUGAAUAUUGUGGUACUUGCCUAGAGACCUCUUUUUUCUCAUUGACCUUAUCUUUAUUUGUUUUAAACUAUUUGAAUAGAUUGUUGUACAUGCCUAGGGUAUGAAACUAGUAUGUAGUGGAAAUGGACCUGUUUUAUUGAUAAAAUGAAGAGCAAAGUUGUUUUUAAAAAUUAACGUAUAUCACUUUUGUUCUUCAAAAACAAGUAAAGUAACCUCAAGGAACACCCAUGCAAAAUAUCCUUUUCUCAACAUGCUAUUUUAAAUUAUGUUCUAUUUGUAAGAAAUGUUUUCCUUUGUGAAGUGAUCCUGACAUUUUGAAAAUUCGAUAAAAUAAUCAAAGGAGCUUUACAUUUGAAUUGGCCCUAAAGAUUUAAGUAUGGAAAACCCAGCAUGAAGCAUUGGGAUUAAAUUGAUCCAUAAGAUUUUGAGGUGCAAUGUGGAUUUGUUCCCACUUCUGCUCCCAUGAUAUAAGAUAGACCUUUUAUGAAGGUUAAAGUAUGUGACCUUGAUUCCUUUGCAGAGAAUCUUGACAUUCCCCAAGUGGAUUCAUUUCUGUUUUCUAAGUUGAUCUAGUCCUUGCUCAGGACUGAUAUAGUCCUAGGCGAACUCUCUACACUGCCUUUUAUUUUGGUGUCCCAGGUAUCUCUGGUAGCUUGUAAAUACAUUUCCCCUUUAGUCCUGUUCAUAACUUUUCAGAAGCAUUUCAGUAUCACGGAAUAAUACAUUUGAAUAGCUGUGCAUGAAAUGCUGAGAACCUCUGCAGUUGAGGAAGCAUAGCUCCUUUCUUCUUAAGUGUUUUGAACAUACUGACUUGCCAUUUGGCCCAACCCACAGGAAAGAUGCCCUGCCAGAGACAUGAGGUCCAGGCUGGGGAUCUAGGGGCUACAUAACAGCAUGGCAAUGCAAGUCACAAUCCAUGGGUCCAGGCUGCUGCUUUGCCAUUAAUUGGUUUUAUAUGUUUGAGGACAAGUCACUCGCUCUCCCAGGCCUCAGUUUCUUCAUCUGGCAAAUAAAAUUGUCUCUAAUGUUUUAAGUGCCACACAUGUGCUUUUAAUGUACUGAGAUAAACAUCUCUCUCCCAAGUAUUAAUUUCUCCAUCUGUUUAAAAACAAGUUUUCUACACUGGCAACAUAGUGGAACCACCUGGAUAGCUUCUAGUUAAAUCAGAUUCUCUGAAGUUUGGCCUGGGCAUUGGUAUUUUUAAAGCUUGUAAAGUAAUGAUUCUCAAGAGACAUCAUAGUUAAGAACUAUUGUUUAAAAAUGUGGUGUGUGCAUGUAAAUACUGGAUGUUGGAAGAGAUGAGGUAGGCUAAGCGCUGCAUGUCUUUUAGAAGAGGGACUUUCAGCAAAUCAGAAGGGAGCUUUCAAAGAAAUGAGUAAGAGGCUGUGGGGACAAGGUGUCAGUCAACAGACAUGCAUUUUAGUCAUGCAAAGAGAUAUUUUGUAUUUGUCUGAAAGCCCCCCAUACAUUUCUUCUGCUUAGACCCUACACAUGCAAACACACCCCUUCAUCUUUGCCAACAUUGAGAAAUUGUUACCCUCAUUCAGAAGAUGAGUUUUUAAAGCGCCUAAAUAAUUGUCUGAAAUCUUUACAUAAACCUCUGGGGUUUGUCUUUGAUCCAUGAUCAUUAAUACCAUUAAUAGACUCUCUAAAAGUGCGUGUGAAUGUCAAGUUAGCAUUUGGCAGGGCAGUGAAAGAAUGAACGCUUUUAAAAUAGUUUGGCUCAGAAAGUGCAUCUGAAAUAACCCUGUGGGAAAAUCGGGAGAAUUUCUCAUCCUCCAAAGGAUUACCUAGGAUGAGAUACUGACCUUGUAUUUUAAGUUCAGUUACAUUUCUUUAAAACCUCAUUCAUUACCCAGCCUGAUUUAUUUUGGGGGGUGAAGUAGGCUGUGGGAGGGGCUGUCUGAUGAUGUACGGUUUUUAUGUUUGCUUUUUGUUUUCUGCAUAGUUCCCAAAAGAUUUUUAUCAUAACGUGUAUAUAUAUUUCUUAAAAAGAAAAAGAAAAAAAAGACCAGCUUCUUCAUGAGAUUUACUACAGCUUUUCUCUCAGAAAUAAGAGCUGAAGAAUUCUCUCCUCUUCAGGCUCUAAGGCGAUCAAACCCCAGAAGGCCGAGUGUGUACAGGGCGAGCAGAGCGCUGACCUCUGCCGGGGGAGAGGUCAGUUCAGCACACAAGACUCAAAAGGGAGGAAGAAAAAGCAACUCCUCAGCAGGGAGUUUGACUUGCUUUAAGGCAGAAGAGCUUUUAUAAAUGAGUUCCCAGUCUCCCACGCCCUCUUGCCUGCUCUUCUGUUACUAUCCUGUCUCUGUGCUUAGACACACACACACACACACACACACACACACCCCCACACACACACACACACCCUUAUUUCCACUCACUGCCUCACAUCCUCUCUCCACCUGCCCCAGGAACUGUGGAUAGACUGGCAGACCCUGCUCCAAAGGCGGCAGGUGAUGGAUUGACUGGGAAUUUUUCUAGGCCCGGUGGCUCCCAAGGCCUUUUCAGUUCCUCCUCAAUAUGCUUGACUGGUGAGAAGAACGCAGAGGGCUCUUUCCCAAACCCACUAUAGGUGCCUGGGAGGAUUAAUACCAGCUCCUCCAUUCCUGUUGUCAGAGCCAGAAGGUGGAAUGGUAAAUCAGGGCGACCUCCAGCCAGGAUGUGGGAGACUGGGCUGGGCGUUUGGGAUGUGUCCCAGUAGGAGGAGCCAGGAAGGACCUUCCUGUAACACUGCCAGAGGCUUGUGAAACAGCAGCACUACUUUCUUCACAUUCUCCUUAAAAUGGUGAGCCUUGUCCCAGUGCCCUUCUGCUCAGCAUGAGACCAUCUAAAGAACUGUGGAAGCCGCCUGGGCAGAGCUUGGAGCAUCUAGAAAAAAAACAUCCCCAAGUGGCUCUCCAGUGAAAUGCCCCAUCAAUCUGAAAACACUUGUGGGCAACAGAGUUCUCUAUGCCAGAGAUGCAAGGGCUCUUCGUUGCUGCCUGCGUUCUUGUUUUGAUGUCAACAAGAAUAUUCACUGGAAGAACCUUGCAGAGCUUACCUAAAAUCUCUGUACAGGCUCAAAGACAAGCAGAUUCUGCACCUGUGAAUUUUCUACUGCAAAUUGUCCUUGCUUUCUCUUGAAGAUAGUAUUUCUUGGUACUAGUUUAUCAACUUUCAUAUUUUCCUAGGCCCUUGUUGUAGGAACGACUUUGACUCCUGUUUCUUAUAUUUGUCAGUGUAAUUCCAGGUCAUAAUGGUGUAUUAGAGAAGCUCACUAAAUGAGAGAAACCUUAACUUUCUGCCAUCAGCUAUGCAUGUCUGCCCAGGCUGGUUGCCCACCAUAUAAGGGCAAUCCUAGUAGAGAGAUGGUGGAAGAGAAAAGUUUGGCUUGACAUUUAGCCCCUUCUCAGUCCGAAAGAAAUGACCACACCGUGCAGUGACAACAGCCAAGGAGGGAACUUCCUUAUAGGGAAAGGCCCUGGGGGUGGGGAUGGGGGCAUUAAAAAGUAUUUAUAAAAUGUCCAAUCCACUGAAAACUUCAUCAAGAAAAUGAGAGUCAAACAUGUUUCUAAGGAGAGAGAACUGGCUCAAGACUUUGGUGUCCUGGAGUCCUCCAAGGCCCAGGCACCUGAGUUUCCCUCAUUUGGCACUAAUUUUAUAAAACAGCAAGGGGAGGGGAUACAGAGGAAAGAACUGUGUUGUAUUCUUAUUUGCAAGCCGUAGACAGCUGUCUACACUCGCAGACCACACACUGUUGUAGACUUUAAUUGGGCACCAAGUUUUUGUUCAGUCCUGUAAUUCAUUCUUGUCUUGAAUGAGCUUUUCUUUCUGCUAUACUGGUAGCAGGCACUGAAUUGAUCAAGGAGAAAGCCGACAAUUUGUAGAGUCACAGUUAAAUACAGCACCUACAAGCAACAUAGUCUAGUAUGAUUCCCUUUAGAAGAGGCCUGUGUUAAUGUUCUAUUGCUGUGUAACAAAUUACCAUAUAUUUAGUGGCUUAAAACAACAUAAAUUUAUUGUCUCAUGUUUACGAAACUUUAUAGUAGAGUCCUCUGCUUAGCAUCUCAUAGGGCUGAAAUUAAGGUGUCAUUUGGAUGUUCAACUAGAGAGAUCUGCUUCUAAGUUCCCUUAUGUUGUCAGCAGAAUUCAGUUUCUUGCAGUUGUAGGACUAAGGUCCCCGUUGUCCUGCUGGCUGUUGGCCAGGGAUUUCCUAGAAGCUGUUUCUCAGGUCAUUGCCACGUGACACCCUCCCCACCCCCUAUUUCAUCAAUCGAGAAACCUCCUUUGCAUUGAAUCACUUUCAUGCUUUGAAUCUCUCUGACUUAUGUGACCAGCCAGUGAAAACUCUCAGCUUUGAAAAAGCUCCUGUAAUUAGGUCAGCCCCACCUGGUUAAUCUGUAUUUUAAGGCCAAGACGAGACUUUAAUGACAUUGGCAAAAUCCCUUCACAGCAGUACCUGGAUUAGUGUUUGAUCAAAUAACCAAGGGCCCGGAAUCUUUGGGGGCCAUCAUGGAAUUCUGGCUACCACUGGAUCCAAUAGCCCUUAGCUCUUGUCUGACUUGGGGCCCAGUUUAAUGGUAAGAAAGUAGACUAUCAUUGGCAUCUCACUGAAUUCGUUAAUCUUUUAACGGAUUCUUAUUGUAUCACAGGUGGUUUAGAGAAAAUACUGAAAGGAGUGUUCUUCCUACAGCCCUUUUUAUGAAUAUUAACAGUGUGGCACACACCAUCGUGGCAGACAAGAAAACUGAAGUGCACAGAAUUUCAGAAACUUUCCCAAGUUAUUAAGUGACAGAGCCUAUAAUCCAGGUCUGGCCAACCCCCAAACCCCAGAAACUGGGGUUAGGCUACACAGGCAGAAAAUUCCAAACCAGCAACUGGGAAAGAAGAGCUGCAAUUGGAAUCAAGGAAGUCUGACUCCAGAGAGCGUGCCCUUGGCCAUGCAGCAGACAGCCCGGCUUUGCACACUAAGAAGGUGAAAGUAACAGUCGAGAAGGGUCAGACCCACGUGGAGGCAGAACACUCUGGAGGAAACAUUCAGGACGUCUUUUGUAACUGCACUGCAGCCGACACUGUCCGACUGAGAACUCACAGGAAGAAGCACAGAAAUAACAGGGCGUGGAUGUGGAGAAAGCCGGAGGUUGUGGUGAGACCUUAUCCCCCUCCCUCCCGCUCCCCUUCCUUUACCCAGAGGCGCUUUUUCCUUACUUUGGUGCGGACCUGUAUGCUACAUCACGUUUGUGCUCUUCCCUUCUGCUUUGUGCCUUGAAUUCUUUCAAAAAGUACUUCCAAAAAACGUCACUGCGAAACCGGGGAGGACUCCCAGAGGGUAUCUGAUUGUUCAUGUCCUCAGCUUGGAGGAUUUAUGUUCCUGUCUCGGGGAUGGGGUUUUCCAAGUCAUUCAGCGUGGGUGCCUCAGCCAGCGCGGAGGAAACUUCUGCAUAAUACGUGUAAUUCAGGCCUCGCCUGGCACGACAAACAGGUUAAAGACGACUUGUGGGAUAUGCUGCUAAUCCACCAGCGCCGGGUGGGGAGAGCGGAGGCGUAGCCUUUUUGGGGUGUCAGGUGGAGGAAACAGAGCUGCCCACAGGCAAUUCCAGGAACGCCCAGAUGCCCAGAUCUGUCUGUACCGGCCCGGUUGCACACCGGACGUGGCGAACUUCGAUUCAUUCAAGCGAUCUGGAUGUUGGUAUUGUUAAAUCCUCAUGUGAUUUGUCCGCGAUAACCUGGAAGGAACCUGCCAGGGCAAGCGGAAGUGGUUAGGGAACGUGGGAUGAGGCCAAAUAAUAACUGCCGUCGCCUGCAUGGCCGGGGACCCGGCGACAGUGUCUUAGCCACUGUGGGCAGCAUUGCAGUUCCGCAGUCGCCCGAAAGCUGUGCGUGUGCGUGCGUGCGUGUGCGUGCGUUUGCGUGUGCGUGCGUUUGCGUGUGCGUGCGCACGCGCAGAUUGCAAUGGGACCUACAGGGGCUGUCGCUUUCCUCUCGGCACCUCUUUCCCUGUGACUCAUUUUAUAAGUCUGUGAAGCAGAAACUAAAAAGGAAAUCUGAAACUUCCCAAGAACAAAGCAACAACCUACAAAGGAACGGGACUUAAUCUGCCUUUGAUUCAGAAAACACCUAUUGCUCCCGGAUUUAUAAAAAUGUCACUCUCUAGGCAAAUCCAGCUCAGAUCGGCGAUGCGGUCUUAGUGGCAGCUUCCCGCGGCCUCCCUUCAGCCUUUGUGUCCGUUUUUGUGAAGCGCUGAUCUCCCAAUCCCUCAUCUUUGAAAAUCACGCCAAAGGCAAAUUCCCAGAAGAGGCAGAAAACCAGCCCAGGAAGCAGUAGCCCCAUUUGUAGUCCUGGCUGUUACCAAAUCUCUGUAUGACCACGGGCAAGUCCCUGAACCUCUCUAGGCCUCAGUUUCCCCUUCUAGCAAGAUAGUGGGAGUUGGAUCCUUUGAUCGGUGUAAGGUCCCCGAUUGCAUUAACAUCCAGUGAGUCUGGGAUGAAGGCUUUUCAACUGCACGUAUCUCAGCAAGGAUGAACGAAAGCAGCUUUUCACUCCUCAGGUGCAGAACAGAGAGGGGGCCAACCCGUUUGGUUGCCUGAGUAGUCAUUAAGAAGCCAGCUGCAAACUUGGAUUUCCCUCCGGGAUCACGGAUGAUCCCCACCAGCCUUGCCAAAAAGAGCUUUUUAAAAGAAAGCUGUUACUUUCAUGUUGCUGGCAUCUGCAUUUGCUCUCUGGAUAAUUCAACCCUUGGGUGCCCUGGUGUGGAUAUUUGCAGGAGGGUGGGUUGUGGGAAGCAGCAAGCAGACCUCAAGUCAAGGUUCUUACUGGAUUUAAGAACCUUUACUCUCCAAGUUAAUUUAGCCUGACUUGCAUAUCACAGGUUAAUACUGGACCCAUUCAUAAUGAUACAUAAUUUGAGACUUGUAAAAGCUGCCUUGGACUUGAAAGAAACACACUCUAAGCCAGGAGGUUGUGCCCGGCAUGCAAGAGCAAGUAAUACAGGUAGAAUAUAUGUCCAAAGCAAGGGAGCCACGCCCUUUUGACAUGAUCUCGGAGGAUGCCAUGCAGGUGUUUGGGCCCCUUGGCUGCCAGGCAACCAUACCACUGCAGUCCUACAAGCCUCACUACCCCCAUCUUGCUCUUCCUUUUAACAACCAUUGGAAGGCAAUUGUUCAAAAAGGGAAAUUCGUUAUUUUUAAUAGACCCUGAAGUAUUUCAUGGACUUGAAGUGAUGCAACAAGAUUGCCCUAAUGGUUUCUACACUUUGUUUUUAAGACUUCUGGGGCCAGAACCAUAAAGAACUGCCUUGAGGCACCCUUCUACCUCAGAUAACCAAGCUGUUUGUUGGCAUUGUUGGAGACUGACAUAGCCUAAGCUGGGAUGUUUAGCUGCUUGUGGGGUGGAAAAAAAAUGUUAAGAAAAAUAAUUGUUGUUUUUGCAAACUAUCUAUUUAAAAACAGAACCUCAGGAAGCAGAUUUCUGUUCCAAUGCUUGGAUGAAUCAGAGCUUACAAAGUAUAAAUACACAUUAGCAGGAGGAGGCUUCCCAUAACCCAUGUGCUUGUGUGUCUUCCCAGACCAGGAACCUCUGAACUCCUCUUUCUCAUUCCCAGUAAAGGCAAGAAAGAGACUCACAGUAGAAACAGAAAUAGUGGAGCAUUGCUCAGCCCAAGUUUCAAACCCCUGUAGGCCUGAUUUUUUUCCCCCCUCUUUAAAGGCAACUGAUUUUUAGCUGCACACUCGCUCACUUUGGGGCAGACAGGUGUAUUUAGAAAGAUGGGAAAUCCAUGCUCUGGAACCUUUGGCUCUUUGCUGCCUAAGAAAUAUUACUAAAGUUAACUUUGACUCUCUGACCCCUCAGAUCAGGUAGUUAAACACUUAGACCACAACUUGCUCAAGGGGCAGUGUAAUUAUUUUACUUAAAAAUGAUGUCAGGUGGCAAUUUAGCAACAAACUGGCUUCCAGGCUAUUUAAUUCAGUUUAACAAGAAGGAAAAAACAUAAUUAAUGUAGAGCUUGUACUUUAGCAUAGGUGUUCUAAAUUUUUACUGUCCAGAAGCUGGGGAGGAGCAUGGCUUAUUGAAAAUUCAGAUUCCCAGGCCCCACUUGUGACAUGUCUGGUCCAAUAGGGGUCUUGGGUUGGGCCUAGGAAUCUGCAUCUCAAAUGAAAUCCUGAAACCCAUUUGCAAGUCAUGCUUCUAAUCAUUACUGUCUCAUUUGGCUUUUAUUCAAUUAAGACAUAUCCCCCCUCUUCUAUUUCAAUUCCACAAUGUCUAAGUCUAGAAUCUCAAAACAGUUUCUUCCCCUAAAACAUCCAACUUCAAGGAUUUCCUGGACUUUCAAGGUAUACUCUAAGGCUAGAGUUCUAGUUAGCCAAGUUUUUUCUGGCUGAAAAUUCUUUUUCUUCCAGAGCCCCUUUAAAGAGGGCCCAUGGAGAAUCGUGAAGACACUAAGUCCCUUCUUUUCCACUAUGAUCCCAGGAAAACCAAGGCUCCGUUGCCUGCUUCCUUUUCCCUGGAGAAAGGGAAAACUCACCCCCUUCACAAUUAAGGUCCUGGCUUUGAGCUGUACCCAGAGUAGCCCUCCCACCACCAAGAGCAUCCCAGACAGAAGCCGCCUCAAGACAAUACCCAUGAAUAUCAACAUCACUUCCCUCCUGAAAUAAAGAGUUACAGUGCUCAUUAAACUAUUUUUUCUUGGCACAGCAGCAUUUGGCAGCUACCCAAGGAAUUCUAGGGUCCUGCAGAAUCCAAGCUUACAAACUGCCAGAACCAGGUAUUGCUUCAGGAUGGUGUUUGAAGCCAGUGCUGCUAAACCAGACUGUCUCCUGGCUAGUAAGAUGAAGACAGCCAGACACUGGAAACUUAUGGAAGGCCAGAAACCCAGCACCCCAAGGCUGCAUGGCAAGGCAAGCAGAACUCUUAUGCCCUGGAAACAAGGUGAUGAGUAGAUGGGCCCUAACACUAGAAGCUUCUAACUACCUCCUGUGCAGUUAAGAAACCACCCCAUGGGUAAACAUGCACCCAAGUUGCAAGGGUGUGGUCUGUAAUGAUAGAACAAGACAUUAAUAUGAAUCCAAGCAGCCAGGGGGUGAGAAAAAAAAAGCAUUAAGUCUCCCUCUUCAACCCCCAACACCAAUUCCAAACCCUUUAAAACCCUUUUAGUGCAGUGGCCAGUCCCCGUGAGUGCUCACAAACAAUUCACCUCCACACUACAGGCCAUUAAUCCAGUGGUGUUUAUUCAAGCAGUAUUCACACUUGCUGUUGAAUAACAAGGGAAUUGGGGCUCCCACCGCAGCCCCAGGUUUCUGAGAACUUCAGAUGAAUUUCUUGGUUGAAAAGCCUUUCAGUUCUUGUCGGUGCCCCUGUCAGGCAGGGCCUAUUAGAGCCCGAUUACCAGAACAGACUCAGUGGGGUGGCAAACACACAGGGCAAAGCCGAGCAGAACUACGUAAGCUCAGAAGAGGCCACACUGUUCCAUGUUUUCAUACAAAAAAUUUAAUAAAUAUUACUUUUCAAAAUUUAUUGCCAGGAACAACACAUCAAAGAUGCAUUUUUAUGUUCAUAUAACACUAAUAGGACAAUACAAAGUAUCUUCACGGUCUCAAUGGUGAACCAACAAGAUUACUCUGUUUUAUAAGCCUUUUUGAUCUUAAGCUUUGUAAUAGCACUUUGAUUUCCUCACUUAAGGCAGGCAGUGUACUCUAUGGCAAAUCUAAACAGUGAUCUUACUGGACAUUUUAUGGUUCAAGUAUUCAACUAGCUUAUUAGAAUACUCCCUAAAUGCAGAUUUAAAAAAAAAAAAUUCUACAAGUGGUUCAGUAUUACAUACGAAUGGUGAAAAGAAAUCAGAAUUUACAAAACAAGAUUGGUGUGCUUCCAAAGUUUCACACAAUUAAUUUGAUAUUUUUAAUGAUAUUCAACCACUCACAUUUUGGCUACGUUAAGUCAUAGCUCAGCUUGUUCCCUUAAACUGCUCUGUAGCAGAUUGCCUGCCUGUCUCUUUUCAAGUCUAAAGCAGAAAAA